AUUGAACGCUGGCGGCAGGCCUAACACAUGCAAGUCGAGCGGCAGCGGGAAAGUAGCUUGCUACUUUUGCCGGCGAGCGGCGGACGGGUGAGUAAUGCCUGGGAAAUUGCCCAGUCGAGGGGGAUAACAGUUGGAAACGACUGCUAAUACCGCAUACGCCCUACGGGGGAAAGCAGGGGACCUUCGGGCCUUGCGCGAUUGGAUAUGCCCAGGUGGGAUUAGCUAGUUGGUGAGGUAAUGGCUCACCAAGGCGACGAUCCCUAGCUGGUCUGAGAGGAUGAUCAGCCACACUGGAACUGAGACACGGUCCAGACUCCUACGGGAGGCAGCAGUGGGGAAUAUUGCACAAUGGGGGAAACCCUGAUGCAGCCAUGCCGCGUGUGUGAAGAAGGCCUUCGGGUUGUAAAGCACUUUCAGCGAGGAGGAAAGGUUGAUGCCUAAUACGUAUCAACUGUGACGUUACUCGCAGAAGAAGCACCGGCUAACUCCGUGCCAGCCGCCGCAGUAAUAC
rnacentral:rRNA from 1 species